AGCGUACUAGCUAACGCGCGAUCGAACACUAUGGUCGGAAUUGCCAGCUUCAAAUCCGGAAGAAACAUUGCGUUUCCCCGCUUUCCUGUGUUUUAUUCGUAGAACAUAUUUAACUAUAGUGGUUUUUCUUUAACAUUAUGUUAUUUCUGCGCAGUUGUUUAGUUCUUUUUAAAUAAAACCGAAGGAAGCAUAAACGAUCGUUUUGUCUGUGGAGUCAUGUAGUGUUUGCACGAGCCUAAUUCGGACUUGGCAACCCCGUCGGCCUAUCUGUCACUCAAGAUGUCGGAAAGGAAGGGAGAUCUUCUUUUUGUUCGAUUCGAGCCGGGAUCGGCUAUACCCUUUGAGAUCGGGCUCCAUCGCCCAUUUGACCCCGGCAUAACAUGCUAACCUUAAAUUUGUUGCUGCGUUGAAGAGCGAUACAUCGCGUGCCCCGGGUGUUGACAUAAGCUGCAUAAUUUCCAUGCAAGCCUUUUAUCCACCAACGGGGUUCACGGCGGGGCGCUAACUACCUGGCUAACUCGCGCGGUCUCCGACCACCUGCCUCAUGCACCGGUAACCCCAGAUAAUACCAGCGGUAGUGAGCUGUCGCUGACCCUUUUGUAACCAUCCGUCCCGGCCUACACAGAACGUGGCGGCUGGGGUACAAUUCCCGAUGUUGGAGGUUAGACCCAUCCUUUAUUAACUAUAUGACAUUUGGACCAGAUCGACUGGCCCUGGCGCCCAUAUACAUCUCCUGUAUUUUCUAAAUUUAGUUCCUCGGAUCGCUGUUUCUACCAAAAUCUAAAUAAAAGAGUUCGUUAACCCCGAUUUGUUCCCUGAAGCUUUAGUUUAAAAAAGAAUUAAUAAGUACUGUAGAGUCUGUGCAAUCUAUGCUAGCCGGUUAUUAUUAAGAAACUUGACUUACUAUUAAGAAACCUUUAGAUAGAUAUAUAUAUAAAUAUAGGAUUACCUCAACUGUGACUUCUUGCAGUAUUGUUGACGGGUUCUUCCAACCUCAGUGAUUUCAAUAAAAGCUUAGUUACUGAC